CCCACUCCCUCCCGACUGAAAUAGGUCAUGGACGUGCCUCAGCUCGGUGAUCUCCAUGUUUUUGAAGGUAAGCCAUCUACUCAAUGGCAACUUAAUAAUUCCACGGGUCCCAUAGGAUAUCAAUCGUUUGACUGUCACCCACAAACCAUCUAACUUGAUCCAAGAUUGUUUGAGCCUGAGAAUAAAUCUCCCUCCACACAAAGGAGCUAUAUCA
rnacentral:lncRNA from 1 species